GAUGAACGCUGGCGGCGUGCUUAACACAUGCAAGUCGAACGAGAAGUGAAGACGGAAACCUUCGGGCGGAAGGCUUUAUUUCGAGUGGCGGACGGGUGAGUAACGCGUGGGUAACCUGCCUCAUACAGGGGGAUAACAGUUGGAAACGACUGUUAAUACCGCAUAAGACCACAGCACCGCAUGGUGCGGGGGUAAAAACUCCGGUGGUAUGAGAUGGACCCGCGUUCGAUUAGCCAGUUGGCGGGGUAACGGCCCACCAAAGCGACGAUCGAUAGCCGAUCUGAGAGGAUGACCGGCCACAUGGGGACUGAGACACGGCCCAAACUCCUACGGGAGGCAGCAGUGGGGAAUAUUGCACAAUGGGGGAAACCCUGAUGCAGCGACGCCGCGUGAGUGAAGAAGUAUUUCGGUAUGUAAAGCUCUAUCAGCAGGGAAGAAAAUGACGGUACCUGAGUAAGAAGCCCCGGCUAACUACGUG
rnacentral:rRNA from 1 species